UUGCUUGAGAGUUUCCUGCGUUUUCUGUGUUCUUUGUGUGUUUCGCUGUGACAUCUUUGGAAUAUUCCUGCGUGUUGCUCGCUUUUUAUGGACUUGUUGCCUCGAAGAUCGCCAUGAUCGCCUCCGACUCAGCGACAUCAAGGAUUCAAAAUGAGCUGGGAGAGGCCCCAGCUGGAACGGUUCACAUAGGUUGAAGGAGUGCACAUUGACAAGGUUAUUCUGGCACAGUUUACCAUGGCCUGCCAUGGUGGACCAGGAAAGUUUGCAAGGGCCUUGCUUCACCAUGUGUUCACAGAGGAGGAGCUCAUGGGCCAUUUGGGCUUUGGAAAUAACUCCAAGGGGCAAAAAAGGCUCUUUACCCCACCAGGGUCAGUGCUGUUAUAGGCUUCACGUGUUGCAAAUUGCCUGGUACCAACAUGCCCUAUGUAAAGAACUGUGGCCUCGCUUCUCGCAUGGGACCAAUAACCUCUCAAGAGCCCAAGUUGGACAGCUCAAACCAAAACACAAGUGUUGUGCU